AGUGAACGCUGGCGGUAGGCCUAACACAUGCAAGUCGAACGGCAGCACAGUAAGAGCUUGCUCUUACGGGUGGCGAGUGGCGGACGGGUGAGGAAUACAUCGGAAUCUACUUUUUCGUGGGGGAUAACGUAGGGAAACCUACGCUAAUACCGCAUACGACCUACGGGUGAAAGCAGGGGAUCUUCGGACCUUGCGCGAUUGAAUGAGCCGAUGUCGGAUUAGCUAGUUGGCGGGGUAAAGGCCCACCAAGGCGACGAUCCGUAGCUGGUCUGAGAGGAUGAUCAGCCACACUGGAACUGAGACACGGUCCAGACUCCUACGGGAGGCAGCAGUGGGGAAUAUUGGACAAUGGGCGCAAGCCUGAUCCAGCCAUACCGCGUGGGUGAAGAAGGCCUUCGGGUUGUAAAGCCCUUUUGUUGGGAAAGAAAAGCAGCAGGUUAAUACCCCGCUGUUCUGACGGUACCCAAAGAAUAAGCACCAGCUAACUUCGUG
rnacentral:rRNA from 1 species